AUAUGGGAAUGGGAAUGAGAAUGAGAAUAUGGAGAAGCCAACAUCGUCGGUCGCAGCCAGCUACAGAUACAGAUACGAGUAUAGAUACAGGCCGAGUCGCGUCCCCGGUCUGCGGCCGUGGCCUGGGCCGGGGCAGGGGUAGGGUAAAGGUGUCGUUGGCGGUGGUUGUGCCGUCGUCGCCUUCAGUUCGCUUUCGUGCUUCUCUGAGAUGUGCUCGAGGACAAGGACGAGGAUGCGAGGCGGGCAUGGCACACCAACAAGAAGGUCGUAAACCCUCAGCAGCAGCGAGUGGACUGCGGCAGAGGCAGAGCCGAUGGCAACACUUUCGAGAACACAACGCCACGGUAAUAGGAGCGGGAGAGGCAGCGAGCGGAGAGCAAUGAGCAGAGAGGCAGCACCAGCAACGACCCAAUGCCAAAAGAUGAAAAGCCAAGCAAGAGGAGCAGCGGCAAUAAAACGCGCGUGUAUCUGGCCUCUCCCUCCCACACGCAACCUUCUCUCUUGCUCUCGCUGGCCAUCGGCAGCAAAACAACCACCCGAGCUGUCGCUCACAUACACACACACACACACACACAACCAAAGACACAGAGUCCCAUGGACAUGUGCGAGCGCGCAUACACUGACACAUGUCCAAUCAUUUUAUAUACGCCAUUUGCUGUCUGCCGCAGAUACAUUUGUAUCUUUAUGUGCCAAACAAGUCCAUGCCGGUCCGUCGACGCCGUAAUCUCUCGCUGCCGUUGACGCUGUGGCCGGGGCAGGGGUUAAGACUGAACCUGACGAUGGCAACGAGUCAAUUUUGGAUUCCAGUUUCCCAUCGCGGUGGUUGUUGGUGUAAUCAUUUGAUUGUUAUUCUUUCUACAUUUCGCUCAUCCCUGAUUCCCCGUUCCCCAUUAACUUCUACCCCCGUCUUCGCACCACCAUUACCAGCGGCAUCAGCACUACUACAUAUAUAAAUAUGUAUGUAUGUAUGUUCAACCGUUGGCUGGGGUUCAGAUGCCAGGCAUCUCUCGCACGCUUAUCUUUUGAUUACCAGAUCGAAUUGUGUUGAAUUAGGUACAUAUUCUUUGCCAUCUAAUACUUUGAAAACUUUUAAUCAUUACCCUACCCCGCAUAUGCCGCGAAUUAGAUUUGGACCCCUCGAAAUGAUUGCAAUGAGUCUGAGAAUAUUCCAGCUAAGAAUAUUCUCAAAACCAACUUCAAUUCUGGAGAAAGUACUGAUCCGCUGACUUAUAAGACGACAUUUACAUCCAGAUCAUUUCUAUCAUAAUUUCAUUCAAUUAAAAUAUCAAUUUUGAUAUCCUAUAACGAAUGCUUCUGCUUAGCAUCAAGGAAUAUAUAUGUAUUUCAGAUUUAAUUAGCUUAAGUAAGUUAAAGAUAUUAGAUUUCUAGUCAGGCGGAAAGCCCCAUGUAAAUCCCAUGUCUUCUGAAGGAAGGAAGUGAAGGUCUGGGCAAGUAAGAGCUCGCAUUCUUUGCAGAUAAUAUCUAAGAAAUGCAUUUAAAAUUAUGAAACUAUAGGGUUCUGUGAUUUGUUCAUACAUACAUACAUAUGUACAUAUGUAUGUAUUGUAAAACAUUUGUUUUAAUGACCUCCACCAUUUUAGGCUCAUAUGUAUGUAGAUAUAUUAAAUAUUUGUUCUAGUACAUAGUAAUUAAUUUAAUAUGUUUAUUCAGAUACCUAUUUAGCCAAACAUUUUGCCGUAACCUUGUCGGUUUUUCUAUCUAACCAGAUCUACGUAUACUUACUGCCCUGUACUUCAUUUUUCAUAGAUAGCACUUUUUAACCGAUACACAUAAACCAUUUUAGGCCAGUUCUAGAAUGCUCCACCAGCGUACAGAUGUUCCCCAAAGGUACGAAGUAAUUGUGUAAAACAGCAGACCUCGUUUAAAAAUUUUUUUAAUAAGCCGCCCUGACUAAAAUAGCUUUUAUUUCAAAUUUCAAAAGAGCAUCUUUGAAAAUAGUUGAAAACAACUACAAUUUUAGGUUCGGUGGUUGUUUGUUUCGUCAGACGCAAACCCUGCCACCCACUCAGUUCAUCCCCAAUCCAUCCGAGAAAAGAGAAGACACCCACUCCAGUUUGAUGGGUGAAAGCAUCUGCGUGCACUAUACAUAAGGUAAAAACCAUCUGAACCGAGCUGAACCGAACACAUAGCCACCCAAUCUGUGAGCCUUUGAGAAUACCAAUGUUUAUAUACGAGUAUGUAUAGAAUACACCCUUCUCUGGUACUGUAAAACUUCCCUCUGCAUCGAUGAAAGCUUAUUCAAAUUCUUGUGGAUACAUAUUUGCAAGAAGGUUUGUUAUCAGUCCUAUACAUGUACAUACAUACAAUUAUAUGUAUGUAUCUCCCGGGUACAUUUACAACGCGGGUUCAGAUUUGCUUCCAACCCCAUUUUAGGGGUUGAAUAAAGUUUAAACAAACACGAGA